GAGUUUGAUCAUGGCUCAGGAUGAACGCUGGCGGCGUGCCUAAUACAUGCAAGUCGAGCGGAGUUGAGAAGCUUGCUUCUCAACUCAGCGGCGGACGGGUGAGUAACACGUGGGUAACCUGCCCUUAAGACUGGGAUAACACCGAGAAAUCGGUGCUAAUACCGGAUAAUUUGUUUGAUCGCAUGAUUGAACAAUGAAAGGUGGCUUCGGCUAUCACUUAAGGAUGGACCCGCGGCGUAUUAGCUAGUUGGUGAGGUAAUGGCUCACCAAGGCAACGAUACGUAGCCGACCUGAGAGGGUGAUCGGCCACACUGGGACUGAGACACGGCCCAGACUCCUACGGGAGGCAGCAGUAGGGAAUCUUCCGCAAUGGACGAAAGUCUGACGGAGCAACGCCGCGUGAGUGAUGAAGGCUUUCGGGUCGUAAAACUCUGUUGUUAGGGAAGAACAAGUACCGUUCGAAUAGGGCGGUACCUUGACGGUACCUAACCAGAAAGCCACGGCUAACUACGUGCCAGCAGCCGCGGUAAUACGUAGGUGGCAAGCGUUAUCCGGAAUUAUUGGGCGUAAAGCGCGCGCAGGUGGUUCCUUAAGUCUGAUGUGAAAGCCCACGGCUCAACCGUGGAGGGUCAUUGGAAACUGGGGAACUUGAGUGCAGGAGAGGAAAGUGGAAUUCCAGUGU
rnacentral:rRNA from 1 species